GCAUAGGGAGAAGUUUCUUGGAAAAGAACAUCAGAGAGGGUGAGAGUCCCGUAUUUGCCCUGUGUCAUUUAGUUCCACGUACGGUACGCUUUUAUAGAGUCGCGUUCAUCGGGAUUUGAGCGCAAAAUGUGUGGUAAGUUUCACAUAAAGCUAAAUAAUGGCGCGAGACCGAUAGCAAACAAGUACCGUGAGGGAAAGAUGAAAAGUUCUUUGGAAAGAGAGUUAAAAGUGCCUGAAAUUGCUGAAAAGGAAGCGAUUGGAACCUUUUGGAAUCCAAUACGUGAAUCUCUCAUGACAUUGAGCCCCAGGUUAUUUAACCCUGUAAAAAGGGAAAAGGAUUUGGGUAAGGCAAUAGAUGAAAGGGGUGAGGAUCGUAUUGGAGAGGCCAGCAUCAGUUAAGACGAAAAGACUCCAGGUGUAGAAGGUAGGUCCCCCGUGGACUGUUUUACUAGAUACACCGUUGGAACUUUUCUUUUUAACUGAGGUGUACUAUAAUAGAGCAUGGAAUAUUCGGGCUACACUCGGUUUUUGUAAAAAGAUCGAGUACUCGAGUUCUGUGAUGCUGACUAAAAUGGUUUCAACCGACCCGUCUUGAAACACGGACCAAGGAGUCUAACAUAUGUGCAAGUAUGCGGGUGGCAAACCUGUAUGCGAAAUGAAAGUAAGAGUAGGGAAAAGGGUAAUAUCGUCAAAAAAUAUUAUGCUUUGCACCUACGACCGACCAUGAUCUCAGAG
rnacentral:rRNA from 1 species